CGGCAGGCCUAACACAUGCAAGUCGAGCGGCAGCGACAACAUUGAACCUUCGGGGGAUUUGUUGGGCGGCGAGCGGCGGACGGGUGAGUAAUGCUUGGGAAUAUGCCUUAUGGUGGGGGACAACAGUUGGAAACGACUGCUAAUACCGCAUGAUGUCUACGGACCAAAGUGGGGGACCUUCGGGCCUCACGCCAUAAGAUUAGCCCAAGUGGGAUUAGCUAGUUGGUGAGGUAAUGGCUCACCAAGGCGACGAUCCCUAGCUGGUUUGAGAGGAUGAUCAGCCACACUGGGACUGAGACACGGCCCAGACUCCUACGGGAGGCAGCAGUGGGGAAUAUUGCACAAUGGGCGCAAGCCUGAUGCAGCCAUGCCGCGUGUGUGAAGAAGGCCUUCGGGUUGUAAAGCACUUUCAGUAAGGAGGAAAGGUUAAGUGUUAAUAGCACUUAGCUGUGACGUUACUUACAGAAGAAGCACCGGCUAACUCCGUGCCAGCAGCCGCGGUAAUACGGAGGGUGCGAGCGUUAAUCGGAAUUACUGGGCGUAAAGCGUACGCAGGCGGUUUGUUAAGCGAGAUGUGAAAGCCCCGGGCUCA
rnacentral:rRNA from 1 species